AGGACAAACGCUGGCGGCGUACCUAAGACAUGCAAGUCGAACGGGGGAUGGACCCUUCGGGGACCAUCUCGAGUGGCGAACGGGUGAGUAACACGUAGGAACCUGACGUUUGGUGGGGGAUAACGCUGGGAAACCGGCGCUAAUACCGCAUGAGGUCCCCGGAAACGGGGAGCAAAGCAGCAAUGCGCCAGAUGAGGGGCCUGUGGCCGAUUAGCUAGUUGGUGAGGUAAAGGCCCACAAGGCGACGAUCGGUAGCUGGU
rnacentral:rRNA from 1 species